rnacentral:rRNA from 1 species
UACAGAGGUCUCAAGCGUUGUUCGGAUUCAUUGGGCGUAAAGAGCUCGUAGGCGGUCUGUCGCGUCUGCUGUGAAACUCAGGGCUUAACCCUGAGCUUGCAGUGGGUACGGGCAGACUAGAGUGCGGUAGGGGAGACUGGAAUUCCUGGUGUAGCGGUGAAAUGCGCAGAUAUCAGGAGGAACACCGGUGGCGAAGGCGGGUCUCUGGGCCGUAACUGACGCUGAGGAGCGAAAGCAUGGGGAGCGAACAGGA